GAAGAGACCUGUUGGAAAACUUGGACGGAAUCUCCCCGAGUUGGAGAGGAAGGGGCCCCAUUCCCUGCGCAUUAGUCACUCUGUAAAAGAUUAAUCCUAACGAGCUACGUUCUCCAGGCGGGCACACCCAGGCUUUGCAUCACAUACCUACGAUUGCUCAAUAUUUAGGCCAAAACGUGUAUACUCAGAUGCUGAUGGAUAUCGUCUUUCCAGAAACCAUUAACCACAGCAUUAACUGUACUAACUUAGGGAGGUUAAGGAAUGAGGCCCAGCAGGGGGGUGCUUCGAGUGGCUGGGGAAGCACCUGCUCAAAGCCGGUGUAGAAGGACUUGUUGAGGGGACUCCACUUUCUAAAAAACACAGCCCGAAGAAAAUCCAGUGCCCCGGCUUUCUGUUCUGAGUUUUUGGCCCCUUCCCACGUCUUUGCAGGCCAGUUGCAGCGGGGAGUGCUGCCCGCUUCAUUGGCUUCAUCAGCUAAUGGCAGCCACCACCGUGAUGGAGUUGGGAGCGUCAUGCUCAAGAAAUCAGCAAGGGGACAGAAGUUCCUGCUACCCUUGCCAGAGCCCCGGGGGACAACCACACACAGGGCGGCCACGCGGAGUUGGCUAGCUGUGCGCCGGGAGCUGGGCCCGGCCUGCUGCUGUGGCCCGGAGGUCACGGCCCAUGCUCAAGGCCCCUGUCCCAAUGCAGGUCCGCAAUCGAAUGCCAUUUAGAUUCCAUGCCUGCUUUGCCUGAUGAAAAAGGUUGUUUUUGUUUUGUUUUGUUUUGUUUUGUUUUGUUUUGUUUUUUUAAAUCAUUCUUCUGGCCUAUCUCUUGGGACUUUGAUGACUGUUGAGAUUGAGAAGACGAAAAGGGUAAAUGCCCGAAGCUCUGUGCACAUAAGACUCAAUAUCCUUUGUUUUGUCGGAAGUAGAAGAGCAAUCGUGUACUUGCACCUGAGGUGAACAGCUGUCAAAUCAAAGAACAGGAACAACAGAAUGUGAAGUUGGACCACAAGAAUUUGCAGAAGCAGCAGGGACAGCAGGGGCAGCCAGUUUGUGUGCACACAGCCUUCUUUUCUCCAUGAGAAUGUAGAUUCCAGGAGGUCUGGGACAUUCCUUACCUUGCAUGUUGCCACAUUGUCAGUAACCAACUUGGUGCUCUGUGAAUGUAACCAGGUAAGCUGAUGAGUCUCUCAGCAGACUCUGAGAGAACUGGGCCUCAUCGUGGGUUUUCCCAGGUCACAUUACCCAUAACUUUGCUCCCCAUUUCAUCUUACAUCUUAGACUUUCCUUCUGGCUUUGUGUUUCUUUGACUGGAAGUAUAUUCUUCAGUCCUCAUUCCUUCACUGAGAUUCUACUUAUGAUAAAUUCAGUUUUUAAAAGAACAUUUGAUUUUAUCCCCAUUCUUGAAUAAUAGUUAAUUAAUCAUAUAUGUAAUAGUCUGGUUCCACAUUUGAUGUUUGACUGCUGGUCCUUUUUGACUCUCACUGCUUCCCCAUCACCUUCUGCCACUUAUCUGGGAAAACUGAUAAGAAAGCCUGGGUGCUUUUUUAGAGUCAACAGGUAGUUCAAACCAUGCAAACAUGGUCCACACGAGAGAACUCUUAACCCAAUACAGCUCCAACCCCCAACAUAAACCCCAAGCUAUUUGUCCCUCUCUGGUCUCACAUCAUAUAUUGGAUCUGCUGGAGAACCUGCCCUGUUCUCCUCAAAAAGCUCCAUUGUGUAUGUAAUAAACCUUUCCGCAUC